ACACAACCCUUGGCCGCUGUGCUGACACGCUCUGCACCUUGCUCCUGCCCUCGCCUUUCACUCUUCUUAUCCCCCCGAUACCCCGAUCAUUCCUGACAGCUCCUGAGUGCCUGGAUUUCAUCAUCCAGCCCUGCAGGAUGCUCCCAUUUGUUCUGAGGAAGGCUGUCCCAGACAGAGAGGAGGACAUGGAGGUAGAUACGAAGAUUGAUAUGGAGGAGGACAUGGAAAUAGACGGAGAAGACUCUGGAGAGGAAGAGAUGGAUGUGGAUGAGGAAGAAGAGAUGGAUGUGGAUGUGGAAGAGUCCAUUGAGGACAUGGAUAUUGAUUAAAAAGGACCGAUGGACAUCAUGGACAGAGAUGCCACCCUUUUGUACAUACCUUUUACAUGUUGUUGUUGUCUUAUAGGUUUUAGGGCUUUUUGUCUUCUGUAAAUAUGUUUCAUCUAUUUUUGUUAGAUAGGUUCUUAUGUAUAUAUGUUCUAUUGAUUGUUGUUGUUGCAAAUAUUCUUACAAUGUAAAUGUGUUCUGUAUUUUUGCUGCUGUUUUUCUGUAAUAAACAAAUUUUAUUUUUCACA